CCUCGGGUGACAGGGAGACGAGGUGGUGCAUGGUUGUCGUCAGCUCGUGUCGUGAGAUGUUGGGUUAAGUCCCGCAACGAGCGCAACCCCUACGUUUAGUUGCUAACGCGUGAAGGCGAGCACUCUAGACGAACUGCCGUUGACAAAACGGAGGAAGGUGGGAUGACGUCAAAUCAUCAUGCCCCUUAUGUUCUGGGCUACACACGUGCUACAAUGGCCGGUACAGACGGACGCAAAGCCGCGAGGUGGAGCAAAUCCUAAAAAAGCCGGUCUCAGUUCGGAUUGCAGGCUGCAAUUCGCCUGCAUGAAGUCGGAAUCGCUAGUAAUCGCAGGUCAGCAUACUGCGGUCGAAUACGUUCCCGGGCCUU
rnacentral:rRNA from 1 species